GAUAUGUUUAUGUCAAUAAAAUAAACAGUAUAUUCAACUUUAUAAGUAAGGUACUGUACUAGGUACCUCAUCAGAUGACACAUAAGAGUGCCUGGGUCCUGUUCAAUAGGAAUUAGUGUGCCAAUAUGAUUUAACUGAGGGAGAGUCAUUAGAUUUUUUGUUUUAGAAACAUUGCUGACUAGCUGGUUUGGUGCAAGGAUUGAAAUGAGAAGCUGAAAGCAGGGAAACCAGUAGUUCAAGCAGAAGAAUUAAUCUGAAGAAACAGCUUUGAAAUACUAUUCCUAAGGUUCCCAAACACUGAAAAUUGGCAGAGACCAAAGAGAACAUCAUGACCAAUCUGCUCAUUUUACAGAAACUUGUGAUACUUUCUCACUACAUGGUGCAAACAGCUGAGUCAAGUUGUCCCUGAGAGUAGCCACCUUUCCCUCAGGCCAUACACAUGGAACCAUUCUUUCUCCCUACAAGUCAGCCCAUAAUAGAGCCUCUGGUUGAAAAUCAAGAUUUUGGUGUUCACUUGGCAAUAUUUACUAAGAGGUAAAUGACGCAAGCAGUACUCCAGCCAACCAAUCUAAGACUGACCGGCGUGAGCAGAGAACAGGGUCUCCAGGAUGUCUGUGGCCAGGGCCAGGCGAUUUAUGGGAAAGAGGCAGACAUCUUCCUGGGUUAGUGACCUUGUUUUCUCUCCGAACCUCCGCUUAAAAUGGCGGGAUUUGUACCAAGGUUCUUUCCCGCACUAACCUUCCAUUAUUCACCCUUCUCCCCACCCCCAAGGCCCGUCGGGCCUAUCCCUGACCCGCGUUCCUGCACUUGAGGUGCAUUUCCGCACCUGGAUCCCCAGAUACUGUUUUUCCCCCACGUUGAGUCUCCCGAAUUUCACCAGAACUCUCUCGCGCGGUCUCUGCCCC